CCUACGGGUGGCUGCAGUGGGGAAUAUUGCACAAUGGGCGAAAGCCUGAUGCAGCAACGCCGCGUGAGCGAUGAAGGCCCUCGGGUCGUAAAGCUCUGUUCUCAAGGAAGUUAAUGACGGUACUUGAGGAGGAAGCCCCGGCUAACUACGUGCCAGCAGCCGCGGUAAUACGUCGGGGGCUAGCGUUAUCCGGAAUUACUGGGCGUAAAGGGGGCGUAGGUGGUUUCUUAAGUCAGAGGUGAAAGGGUACGGCUCAACCGUAGUAAGCCGUUGAAACUGGGGAACUUGAGUGCGGGAGAGGAGAGUGGAAUGCGUGGUGUAGCGGUGAAAUGCGUAGAUAUUAGGAAGAACACCAGUUGCGAAGGCAGCAUUCUGGACUGUGACUGACGCUGAGGCACGAAAGCGUGGGGAUCGAACAGGAUUAGAUACCCGAAUAGUC
rnacentral:rRNA from 1 species